rnacentral:sRNA from 1 species
AUGUACUACUCGUACACUCCGGCUCCUGCGCGCCGCACACACCUGUCUGACAACCGCUCGCGACGUUUUAUAACC